GGGCGUGUAGCUCAGCGGCAGAGCGCCCGCUUUGCAACGACUCCACCAAGGAGUAUGUAUACAAUGCGGGAGGUCUAGGGUUCGAUCCCCUACCCGUCCA